rnacentral:rRNA from 1 species
GUAGGGUGCGAGCGUUAAUCGGAAUUACUGGGCGUAAAGCGUGCGCAGGCGGUUUCGUAAGCUGGAGGUGAAAUCCCCGGGCUUAACCUGGGAAUGGCCUUCAGGACUGCGAGGCUAGAGUGCGGCAGAGGGAGGUGGAAUUCCACGUGUAGCAGUGAAAUGCGUAGAGAUGUGGAGGAACACCGAUGGCGAAGGCAGCCUCCUGGGCCAGCACUGACGCUCAUGCACGAAAGCGUGGGGAGCAAACAGGAUUAGAUACCCUGGUAGUCCACGCCCUAAACGAUGUCAACUAGGUGUUGGGGAAGGUGACUUCCUUAGUACCGCAGCUAACGCGUGAAGUUGACCGCCUGGGGAGUACGGCCGCAAGGUUAAA